UACCAGCACCCCGAGUGGUCGGGACGUUUAUUGGGCCUAAAGCAUCCGUAGCCGGUUCCUACAAGUCUUCCGUUAAAUCCAGCUGCUUAACAGAUGGGCUGCGGAAGAUACUAUGGAGCUAGGAGGCGGGGAGAGGCAAGCGGUACUCGAUGGGUAGGGGUAAAAUCCGUUGAUCCAUUGAAGAACCACCAGUGGCGAAGGCGGCUUGCCAGAACGCGCUCGACGGUGAGGGAUGAAAGCUGGGGGAGCAA
rnacentral:rRNA from 1 species